GUCUACGGCCAUACUACCCUGAACAUGCCUGAUCUUGGAAGCUAAGCAGGGUCAGGCCUGGUUAGUACUUGGAUGGGAGACCGCCUGGGAAUACCAGGUGCCGUAGGCU
rnacentral:rRNA from 1 species